UCUCCCCUCAUCUCUCUCUCUCUCUCUCUCUCUCUCUCCAGACCUAAACAAGAUCUAGUUUUUCUCCCCUCCUCCUAAUUUUCGAUCUCUCCCUCUCUAGUGUUUUCUUCUAGGUAACUGUUGCAACCCAUCACAAUUGUCAUCCGUUUUCAAUCUCAUCAAGGAGUGACCUCCGUCGGCCUAGACGAUGCCGAUUCAAGUUUACGCUAUUAUAUUUCUGUAAUCUCUGACAUUUCCGUAGGCGUUCGAUAGUGGGGAUCUGAUGUUCCCACAAAUUUGCAGCUAUGGAGAGGCGGCGGAUCUACGAUCUGAUGUUCCAAUAUGACCAGAUCAGACACCGAUCAAGACACCAAACGGUUCCAUAUGGAAGUCGUCAUCACCAACGCUAUCAACAAGUGAUGGGUUCGUCAACACCGUCUUCUGGGUCCAGACCAUUCUCGGCCGAAGCUUAGGUCGGGUACAGGGCCGACGUGAUCUGAAGAGUCCGGCGUCCCCGAUGAAUAUCUUCGUACAAAGACAACUUUAUUAAGGAGUAACUUGAAUCCAGUCUCGAAUGAGGAGUCAUGUUGUUUGUUCCUUGGUGAUAUGGAGAAUUGAAGAUUUGAAGGCAUUGAGCUUUACAGUUGUUAACCUGAAGGUGGAUUAGCUUUUGGUUGCCUUGGAGGAGCAGGAGACUACUUUUCUCAAACAGUUUGAUCAAGCUCCAAAAAAGCUUUAGCCAAGUUCACAAGUUCAAGAUUUACGGCAAGGAUUUACUACAGUUAAUCAGGAAGCUAAAGCAUUAUUAAGAAGAUACAUAUAUCGUACAGGAACCAUAAGAAACUAAUAGAAAGCAUAUGAAAGUUGAUGGAGGUAGAGGUAGCAGAUGCAGCUAAGGGGAGGAACAUGAAGAGAUUUAUGUUUUUUUAUGUUGUAGUUUUGUUUUACUUUUAUGAAUUGUACAGUAUAUUUUAGAAAUAUAUAGUAUAUUUGAAGUUUUAUAUGAA